rnacentral:rRNA from 1 species
AUGGCGGCAAUCCAAGCCACGCCUGCAGAAAAAUCGCCAGGGCCAGACGGCUUCAGUGGGCAGUUCUUCAGAUUGUGCUGGGGGAUUAUCAAAGAAGAUGUGCUGCAGGCGUUCAACCAAUUCUAUAGCUUGGCCGGCAACAAUUUCGGCCUGCUCAACUCCGCGAUCGUUGCCCUGAUCCCUAAAAAGGACGGCGCGAGCGGCAUCGGCGACUACCGCCCGAUUAGCCUGAUCCACUCCAUCGCCAAGCUUGUCUCCAAAGUUCUAUCAAUCAGGCUGGCUCCAGUUAUCCAGAACAUCAUAUCGCCGGCCCAUACAACUUUUCUAAAAUCCAGAUGUCUCCAUGAUAGUUUCGUCUAUGUGCAGAACUGUGUUAGG